AGCGCAGACGGUUGAUUAAGUCUGAUGUGAAAGCCCGGAGCUCAACUCCGGAAUGGCAUUGGAAACUGGUUAACUUGAGUGCAGUAGAGGUAAGUGGAACUCCAUGUGUAGCGGUGGAAUGCGUAGAUAUAUGGAAGAACACCAGUGGCGAAGGCGGCUUACUGAACUGUAACUGACGUUGAGGCUCGAAAGUGUGGGUAGGCAAACA
rnacentral:rRNA from 1 species